UCCAAACUGGCCUUGAACUCAGAGAUCCUCCUGCCUCUGCCUCCCAAGUGCUGGGAAUAAAGUUGUGUACCAUCACUGCCAGGUUCUCCACCUUUAUCUUUGAGACAAGGUCUUUUGUUGAACUUGCAACUUGCUGACAUGGUGAGGCUGGCCAGCCAGCAAGUCCUGGUAAUCCACUGUCUAACCCCACACACACACACACAACCAGGUUUCCAGGCACAUGGCAGGCUGUUGUGUGAGUGCUAGGACUCACACCCGGGUUCCCCUGCUGCACAACCAACACCCACCAAUAGCCCUGUCUCCCUGCCCUACCCAUUUGUCUGUCUUCCUUUGAUCUCUCCUUCUCUUCCUCUUUAUUCCCUUUCUCCUCCUCACUCACUGUCUCCCUCCCCUUUUCCCUUCCUGAAGCUCUCAGCCCCUCUAAGUGGGCUCCUUUCCAGCUGGUUUCCAGCCCCGAGCUCUGGUGCUGUGAGGUUCCCCCAGGCUCUGGGAGGGAGGUGGGCCACAGUGGUCACCUGUUGGCCACUCCAGGUUGGAGUCUGAUUACCUGGAGUAUGGCUACCAUGCCAGAGUCCAGGUGUGGGGUGGGCUCUCUGUGACACUCCUUUCUUUUUUUUAUCUGUCCUGGAUGCUGGACACUUCCUGGAGGAAUCAGACCCUGAAGGCAGGACGCAAGGAAACCAACUCAGAGAGAGUAAAGAGCUGCCCACAGACACAGGCAUCAGCAAUGGAAGGCCUCAGCAGACCACAGUUUUCCAGAUGAAAACAUCUGCAACAUGCGUAACACCUGCAGGACACUGGAGACCAGCAGCUGCUAGGACAGAGGCUCCUUAGGACUCACCUGCCUGAAGGACCAACAUGACAUGCCCAGCACAGAUCACCUGUGUGUGUGUGUGUGUGUGUGUGUGUGUGUGUGUGUGCGCCUAAUGGGACUGUCACCACCUGUUGGCACAGAAUGGAACUGCAACCCAGUUGUAUUAGGCACUGAAAUUUGUCCCCAAUAAAGGACAGUUGGGGCGAGGGAAGCUGUAGAGAGACAUGGAAAAUUCUGUAAAAAUGAAUAUUUUUGCUCCUAAUAAAGAAACAUUCACAACAA